rnacentral:tRNA from 1 species
GUCUCUGUAGUAUAUCAAUUAUACUGGUCUUGUAAAUCAGAGAAGAGGAAAAAC